AUUGAACGCUGGCGGCAGGCUUAACACAUGCAAGUCGAGCGCCCCGCAAGGGGAGCGGCAGACGGGUGAGUAACGCGUGGGAAUCUACCGAGCCCUGCGGAAUAGCUCCGGGAAACUGGAAUUAAUACCGCAUACGCCCUACGGGGGAAAGAUUUAUCGGGGUUUGAUGAGCCCGCGUUGGAUUAGCUAGUUGGUGGGGUAAAGGCCUACCAAGGCGACGAUCCAUAGCUGGUCUGAGAGGAUGAUCAGCCACAUUGGGACUGAGACACGGCCCAAACUCCUACGGGAGGCAGCAGUGGGGAAUAUUGGACAAUGGGCGCAAGCCUGAUCCAGCCAUGCCGCGUGAGUGAUGAAGGCCCUAGGGUUGUAAAGCUCUUUCAACGGUGAAGAUAAUGACGGUAACCGUAGAAGAAGCCCCGGCUAACUUCGUGCCAGCCGCCGCCGUAACAC
rnacentral:rRNA from 1 species